ACUAAAACAGAAAUGAUUGGAUUUAGAUUUCUAACGAAAUUCUUAUAUAAAGCGUGCGAUUACUUUUCGCUACGUCUAAUAAUACAUUGUAGUCACAUGAGUAUAAUGUUUCUUUUAACAGCUGUUCCUAAAAACAAUAUUAAAAAAAUCUUUGGCUAUACAAAGACACGCAUAAAACCUGUCGAACCAGAACCCCAGACGAAAGUGGUUGUAGAUUUGAAGAGAUAUAUGUAUAUGAAUAUAUUAAAAUGCUAUAUAUUAAUUAGCUGGAUUUUGUCACAAGAACUAGUCGUGCUUUGUUUUAUUUGAAAACAAACAAACAAAAAAAAAAAAAAAAAAUCGAACUCGCAGCUAUGCACUUUGGGCUCAACAGCAAAUCAAAGAAAAAGAAUUAAUAAAUGAUAUAAAAAAUGAUUUUCAAUGCAAAAAAGUCACGAAUUGGAAGGCUAACACUAGUAGUCGGAGAGCUGUUUUGCGACGAUUUGUCAAUGGAAUGCCAAAGCUUUUGGCAUUAGAACUAGCAAGGUUAGCAGCGGAAGGCGACAGCCCUGCCACGCCCCACGCGACCACACAAUAUGCGAUCAGACUUCUGCAAGACUGACCUAUGCUAACCGAAUUCGAAAUACGUUACAAAAUCAAGGUGUAGGCGGUGCAAAAAAUUUUUUUGUUGGCUUGCCACUCGGUUGGUUGUGGAGCGCGUGCCAAGAAAACUGAAACAAGACCAACAUAAUAACCCAGCCAUAAUGAGUGAAGUGUUAACCAUUGUUAAAGUGUUUUUUUUUUUGGUUUUGCUGUUGCUACCGCUCAAAGGUAACAAUUGCACUCAAAAGUACUACGACCCAAUUUGAACCGGUUUGUAUUUUCCAUUUUUGCUCAUUGUCUUUGCCUUUGUGUGUGUGUGUGUGUGUGUGUGUAGAUUAUUAGUCAAGCGUUUGCUUGGCUGGCUGGCAACAUUGCUGUCAAACGUUUGCUGGGCGCAACAUUGUUGCCAAGCAUUUGUUGCCAGGCAAAUUAUGAAAUGCGCUGUUGCCGUCGCCGCUACCGCCACGCCCCACACACACAUAGACAAAAUUAUUAAUAAUCAACUAAUUUGAGGCGAGACAGCCAAGCCAAUUCGAACUAAGACUUUAAUAUACGAGCACACACAUACUUUCUCCAAGCGCAAAAUAAAAAACAGCCCAGAGCGCAGCUUCCAUUUUAUGUGCAAAUUAAAGCCAAAUUUAAAAAUGGCCAAAACACAAAAACAAAACGUUGCUUGGCUCGCACAGACAUAACAGAAAAAAAAGAAACGUAGGCAAAAACAGACAUAAAAUAAGCUUGGCUUUGAUUUGGGUCAUUGCACAAUGGUAACGAGAGCGUCGACUAAAUUUAGUAGCGCCAAAUAACUUUGGACACGCAGAGUUCAGCAGCCCCCGAAAAGAGCGCGCCCAAAAUAAAAAAGCCACCAAUUUUUGAGCAGCCUCGGAUGUAAUUAUUGUAAAUGGCCUGGAAACUGUUCAGUGGCUAGAGCUUAAAUAACUUCCCAAACAAACGAAGCUGAAAACAAGUAAGAGUGCUCUCUGGUGGGGAGUGCUAGACUAGAAUGAUACGCUAACCCACAUGCGCACAUGUGGAGCAGCUCAAUUUCUGAUAUUCGCAUGAAAUUGGGAAGGAAGUUGGGGAUGAAAACAAGUAAGAGUACUCUAGUGGGGACUGCUCAACUAGAAGAUACUCUAAGCUGCAAAUGGUUUAGUAUAUAAAAAGUGAAAUGUAUAGACGAAGCAACAGAAGAAUCUCGAUAGCUCAUAGAUUAAGUAAAGCUGUUACAAGAUGCGAACUAUGCUUAAAUAACUCAAAAAUGCAACAUCAUCAAAAGACAAACUUGAACUUGAACUUGAACUUGAUUGACGCGGUAUAAAAAGAAGAUCGAAAGCUGUGUGUUUAGCCUGAAGUGUGUACAUAUAUAAAAUAAAAGUGAAGCUCCUUCGACAACCAGUUUCGAUUUGUGGACUUUAAGCAUGAAAUACCCCAAAGAAAAAACGGAAAAAAAUAACUUUAUCUUGGUAUUGAAUUCCAAGAAGUAUACGUCAUUGUGGGAAACUUCCAGCGCUCAAAAUUCGCACAAACUUUUUCAUAUAACAGUCAAUAAAGCAUAUUAUCUAUAACUGGUUGCAAGCGGCGUGAAGGCUAUGCAUCUAAAUCGUUUAAAUCUGUCAAUUCCUAGAAAUUUUCGUAAUAUCAAAGGGCACCAAAGUUUAACGAGUUGCCAAACGAUGUCUAUGCUUAUCUAGAAAUUGAUUGAAUAAAAACUUUUGAGAC